rnacentral:misc_RNA from 1 species
UUUCCGUAGGUGAACCUGCGGAAGGAUCAUUACUGAGUGAGGGCCCCUCGGGGUCCAACCUCCCACCCGUGUUUAACGAACCUUGUUGCUUCGGCGGGCCCGCCUCACGGCCGCCGGGGGGCAUCUGCCCCCGGGCCCGCGCCCGCCGAAGCCACCUGUGAACGCUGUCUGAAGUAUGCAGUCUGAGACAAUUGUCAAAUUAAUUAAAACUUUCAACAACGGAUCUCUUGGUUCCG